rnacentral:rRNA from 1 species
CCUACGGGUGGCAGCAGUGGGGAAUAUUUGGCAAUGGAGGCAACUCUGACCCAGCAACGCCGCGUGAAUGAUGAAGGUCUUCGGAUUGUACAGUUCUGUGAUUCGGGCUGAAACCAAUGACAGUACCCCUCUAGCAAGCCACGCCUAACUACGUGCAAUGAGCCGCUGUAAUACGUAGGUUGCCAGCGUUAUCCGGAAUGCCUGGGCGUAAAGGGUUCUUAGGUGGGUUAGUAAGUUGACGGUUUAAUUCCGGGGCUCAACCUCGGGACUACCGCCAAAACUAUUAGCCUAGAGUGCAGGAGGGGUAAGUGGAAUUCGUAGUGUAGCGGUGGAAUGCGUAGAUAUUAGGAGGAACAUCAGGGGCGAAGGCGACUUACUGGACUGUAACUGACACUGAGGCACGAAAGCGUGGGGAGCAAACAGGAUUAGAUACCCGGGUAGUC